rnacentral:lncRNA from 1 species
CAGCUGCCCUUCCCUUAGCAGAGCAAGGCUGACAUGAAGGCCAUUUGUGUUCCCGAGCCUGGAGGUUUGCUUUGGCUCUUGGUGGGAGAGGCUUGAGAGGGCGGCUGUGUCCCGAUAGGUGCUCUCUGGCUUUGUAGUCUCUUCCAAUGCACUUCGCCUUAUCCCUCAGCCAGCCUGACAGCCUCCCCUCUCCUGACCAGCACUCAGGUUUGGGAGUGGGUGGUGUGGUGUGGGAUUAGGGCAGCCAUAGCAGCCAAGGUGUUGAGUUUUGCAGGAUCAUACUGCCUUUGGUUCCUCUGGCCUGUGCCCUGUAGCAAUGGCCCACAUCACCUUCCCCUUGGGAAGAGCCCUUCCCCAACACAGCCCUAGACCUGCCUGAAACCAGGGGCCAUCUGUGAGUGAGCUGGAACAGAGCCUCAGCAGGAGGGCUGCUAGCUCAGCGUCUAGGGCCCGCCCACAGGGGCUAGC